rnacentral:rRNA from 1 species
UACAGAGGUCCCAAGCGUUGUUCGGAUUCACUGGGCGUAAAGCGCACGUAGGCGGCUUUUUAAGUCAGGGGUGAAAUCCUGGAGCUCAACUCCAGAACUGCCUUUGAUACUGAGAAGCUUGAGUCCGGGAGAGGUGAGUGGAACUGCGAGUGUAGAGGUGAAAUUCGUAGAUAUUCGCAAGAACACCAGUGGCGAAGGCGGCUCACUGGCCCGGUACUGACGCUGAGGUGCGAAAGCGUGGGGAGCAAACAGG